rnacentral:lncRNA from 1 species
UUUUAAGGAAGCUGGCUUGUCAUGUUUUGGAUUUUUUGUCAGAUUUUCGGAAUCCUCUGGUUUUAUCCAUUUGAAUGGCUUGAAAUAUUUUGCCCGGUGACCCCAUUUUUCUUUUUGUAAAUCUUUUACAUGUAUAAAGAUAAGCCAUCUGUUAAAGUUUUAUAAAAUUUUAAUUACUUUUUGUUUUUGAAAUCUUCAACUUGUCAAUGAUAAAUCUAUGAAAAGUCAAGAGAGAAUAUUUUCCCGCCAAAUUUUCAAUGGCUAAUAUCUUGAAAACAAGCACGGUGACCUAUUUAUUUUAUUUGCUCUUUGGAUUCAUUUAUUAAUCCCCUAUCAAUAUAAGAUAGUGUUUUGAAAAGUUAAUUACUUUGAAACUGAGAAGCGAACUCCCUUAA